rnacentral:lncRNA from 1 species
AAUUUACUAUUAAUUCACUAACACUUGAUGAAUUAAUUUAUUGUAACUUUUGCAUAAGGUUAACCAUUAAUCGAAUUGACGAUUAAGCCCUGGAAUGAUUCUCAAUCGUUAAUCAACCACAUGAUCAGUGAGAAACAUCUUUUGAGUAUGACCCCAUAGGUUUGAACCUAAGCUGGUAGCACUAAAAUAUCUUCUUGAACCAAUCAAUGUAACCAUGUAGCAAUGGUAACCCGACGUCCAGAU